UACGUAGGUGGCAAGCGUUGUCCGGAUUUACUGGGCGUAGAGAGCGCGCAGGCGGUCGAUCAAGUCGCGUGUGAAAGCCCCCGGCUCAACUGGGGAGGGUCACGCGAUACUGAUCGACUCGAAGGCAGGAGAGGGUAGUGGAAUUCCCGGUGUAGUGGUGAAAUGCGUAGAUAUCGGGAGGAACACCAGUGGCGAAGGCGACUACCUGGCCUGUUCUUGACGCUGAGGCGCGAAAGCUAGGGGAGCAAACGGG
rnacentral:rRNA from 1 species